CGAUACUUUUUGAAUAAUAACAAAUAUCAAAAAUCGUUUGAGGCUAAACUGUUAUUUAACGCGGUUUUGUAAAAAUUUAAAUUUCAAACCCUCAUAAAAAUUUUUUGUCUGAAUCCGGUAGAGUUUUUUUUACAGAUAUUUGAAGAAAAAUUUAAGGAGAACCUUGUACCAAAUUUUGAAAACUUAGUUAUAAAAGAAAAAAAUUUUAUGAUUUUUCAACUUCAAAAUUACUUGCAAAUUUUCGAGUUUUCGACAGAUUUCGUAAAAAUUUGAACUAAAAACGCUUAUAAAAAAAAAUUGUGACUAACGAUUUUUAAUUUUUUUUAACUACAAUAAAAACAACUCAUAAGGAACCUUGUAUUAAAUUUUCAAAACUUUUUGGUUAACGUCAUGGAUCCGGAGUUUUUUCCUGCGAUGAUCCAUUCGUACUAUUAUUGCUAUGAAAAUGCAGGUUGGACUUUUAAAAAUGAUACAAAAUCAACGAAUAAUGCGGGUGAAUUUAGUGGCUUAGUGCAUGUAUUCCACUGAAAUAUUGGUUAGGUUUAUUUGAAGAUUUUAAAAAAAUACUAGUUAAUUCUAGAUUAGAACUAAUAUUAACGCGAAGUCAUAGUGAUUUAAAUGCUAUAUAAAUGUAAAAAGCGAAGGAAGUGCCACCACAGUUGCAGUCGACUUAAAUAAAAUAGUGUGGAAGGUACCACAUAUCACCGUUGACGUCUUGACGAUGAAGAAAGGUAGAAGUUAUUAAAAUUUGUAGAAAAAGAAAAAAGUUUGUUUAUUCCUUUUAAGUUUUAGAUCAUUUGAAACAUUUGAGUAUCCUGAACUGGGAACUACUACCAAAGCUGUAUGGAACUUAAAAACUGCUUCAAAAUUAGAAAAACCGCGAUUUAUUAUAGUUGGUUUCCAAAAAGGUCGAAAAAAUCAAAUAACAAAAGAUUGUAGUGUAUUUGAUAAAUGUGACCUAACAAACGUGAAAGUAUUUCUCAAUUCAAUAGCUUAUCCUUAUGAUAAUUUUAAUUUAGAUUUUAAUAAAAACAAUUUUUCGAUAUUAUAUGAUAUGUAUACAUCAUUUCAAGAAUCGUACUACGAAAAAAAAAUACGUAAUCCGCUGUUGAGUCCUUCAACUUUCCUAGAAAAUGCUCCCAUAGUAGUUAUUGAUACUUCAAAACAGAACGAUUCAGGUACAGCCUCAUCAGUAGAUGUGCAAUUGGAGAUUGAGGCAUCAAAACCACUUACGGGUGUAUCUGCAUAUUGUUUAUUAAUUCAUGACCGAAUUGUUGAAUAUGUACCUUUUACUAGAGAAGUAAGAAAACUUUUGUAAAUAUAUACAUUAAAAAUAAUUAAUGAAAAUUGCAAAUUUUAAUUGCAAUUGUGAAUUGACUAUUGUAUACUAAUAAAAAAUAAAAACAGAUUAUUAACCUAACCAACAUUUUUAUUUAUUUACCAUAUCUAAUUAUAAAGUGUGUUAAAAAAUGUGUAAUUUGUGAUCACGUUAAUAAAAUGUACAAUAUGUGUGUACACGGUAAAAACUUGGAUAGUAAAACUUGGAUAGAACAUACAAAAUAUACCUACUAAUUAUAUAUUAAUUUUAUUUUAAUACAGUUUAGGUAAAUAAUAUUUGAAUUUUAUUGCAGAUGAUUCAUGUUUGGAUGGGUUUGCAAUGUUACCACAAGAACAAGAAUGUCUAGAACUAAAUGAACCACAACAACAGAAUUUUGAUUCAAUUAGUAAAAGGACAAAAAGAGAUUCUUUUCUAACAACAAUUAUUUCCCGUAAAAAAAAAAUAUUUGACUCCAAACUACAAAAAACUUUAUUGUGAAGUCAUGAAGUACAAACGGAAACAAGAAAAGUUGUCUAAAAGUGAUUCAGAUAUGAAAUGCCGGCUAAGAUUAGCAAAAACAUUUUCAGAUAGUCCAAUUAUUAUAUUUAUUAUUCUAUAUGCUUAUACUUUAUUGUGUUAAAUUGUUACUAGUAACAAUAUAUUAUUAUUAUAUUCAUAACAUGUAAUAUUACAUUUUGAUAUACUUUUAAUAAAUAUUAUUAGUUAUGUAUAAAUCAUACAA